rnacentral:tRNA from 1 species
CAGUCUAAACUUUAAGUUAAGAUUUUCAUUUACACUGAAAUAGUUUAUCGUGCAAUUCGGUAUAGUCUGA